ACGUAGGGAGCAAGCGUUGUCCGGAAUUACUGGGUGUAAAGGGAGCGUAGGCGGGAUGGCAAGUAGAAUGUUAAAUCCAUCGGCUCAACCGGUGGCUGCGUUCUAAACUGCCGUUCUUGAGUGAAGUAGAGGCAGGCGGAAUUCCUAGUGUAGCGGUGAAAUGCGUAGAUAUUAGGAGGAACACCAGUGGCGAAGGCGGCCUGCUGGGCUUUAACUGACGCUGAGGCUCGAAAGCGUGGGGAGCAAACAG
rnacentral:rRNA from 1 species